rnacentral:rRNA from 1 species
ACGGAAGGCAGCAGUGAGGAAUAUUGGUCAAUGGGCGGAAGCCUGAACCAGCCAAGUCGCGUGAAGGAUGAAGGUAUUAUGUAUUGUAAACUUCUUUAGACGUAGAGAAAUAAGGAGCUCGUGAGCUCUGAUGCUAGCAUGCGUAGAAUAAGCAUCGGCUAACUCCGUGCCAGCAGCCGCGGUAAUACGGAGGAUGCGAGCGUUAUCCGGAUUUAUUGGGUUUAAAGGGUGCGCAGGCGGCGCGUCAAGUCAGCGGUCAAAUCCCGGGGCUCAACCUCGGUUCGCCGUUGAAACUGCCGUGCUCGAGUUCGUGCGAGGAGAGCGGAAUGCGUGGUGUAGCGGUGAAAUGCAUAGAUAUCACGCAGAACGCCGAUUGCGAAGGCAGCCCUCCAGCACUGGACUGACGCUGAGGCACGAAAGCGUGGGUAUCGAACAGGAUUAGAUACCCUGGUA